AGUGAACGCUGGCGGUAGGCCUAACACAUGCAAGUCGAACGGCAGCACAGUAAGAGCUUGCUCUUACGGGUGGCGAGUGGCGGACGGGUGAGGAAUACAUCGGAAUCUACUUUUUCGUGGGGGAUAACGUAGGGAAACUUACGCUAAUACCGCAUACGACCUACGGGUGAAAGCAGGGGAUCUUCGGACCUUGCGCGAUUGAAUGAGCCGAUGUCGGAUUAGCUAGUUGGCGGGGUAAAGGCCCACCAAGGCGAUGAUCCGUAGCUGGUCUGAGAGGAUGAUCAGCCACACUGGAACUGAGACGCGGUCCAGACUCCUACGGGAGGCAGCAGUGGGGAAUAUUGGACAAUGGGCGCAAGCCUGAUCCAGCCAUACCGCGUGGGUGAAGAAGGCCUUCGGGUUGUAAAGCCCUUUUGUUGGGAAAGAAAAGCAGCAGGUUAAUACCCCGCUGUUCUGACGGUACCCAAAGAAUAAGCACCGGCUAACUUCGUG
rnacentral:rRNA from 1 species